rnacentral:lncRNA from 1 species
CAAAAUAGACUAAAGGGGUGUUUUAACGGAAUGUGGGCCGGGUUUUAAAUUAAGAAAAUAGGGUGCCCCGACACAGGUCUGCGGUCGCAUAUGCGACCGCAUAAUUGUUAUACAGUCUGCAAAGUGACCGCAUAAAUGGGCCUCGGGGGCCUAAACUUUCGGCCCAGAUAUGCGACCAUUAUGCGGUCCGCAUACUUGUUAUGCGGUCGCAUAAUGCACCGCAGAACUCCCUGCGCAGAAACCCAAGAGGAAUUAUGCGACCAAUAUGCGGUCCGCAUAGUGAUUUUGCAGUCGCAUAAUCGACCGCAAAACUAACCUCAAAUUGGAAAAACUUUCUGCUUCAUUCUGUGGCCAUUAUGCGGUCCGUAGAGUGACUAUGCGGCCGCAUAAUGGGCCGUAGAAAUGCGUUCUUCUGCAAUAUAUUUUCCUCUAAGUCCGUAGGGUACUGUUCAAUUCAAAAAGUCUGAACCACGCCUCGCAAGCUCGCCGCGAAGAAUUUCUACUGUAGUAACACAAGAAUCUAUCUUGGCACCACAAAACCCCGAGUUUUUGGUUAAUAUUUGUACGGGGACUUACAUCCUCCCCCACUUAAGAUCAUUCAUCCUCGAAUGAGGAUCAAGGUUUAUUUAACACAGCUUCAGUUAUACUACAUACCAUAUUGCAUUAAUACACAUUCAAGACCAAUCCUUGAAGCAUCGCAAUACACAACAAAUCCCUCGGUACUUUCUGGCAGGGUCAAUACCGGCGCUGAACUCAACCUUGAUUUCAAUUUCUGAAAGANUAUUGCAUUAAUACACACUCAAGACCGAUCCUUGAAGCAUCGCAAUACACAACAAAUCCCUCGGUACCUUCUGGCAGGGUCAAUACCGGCGCUGAACUCAACCUUGAUUUCAAUUCCUGAAAGCUCCUUUCACAAGCAUCGGACCACUGGAACUUAACCUCAAAUUGGUCAAACUUUCUGCUUCACUCUGCGGAGUCCGUAGAGUGAUUAUGCGGCCGCAUAAUGGGACAUAAAAAUGCGUUCUUCUGCAAAACAUUUUUCUCUAAGUCUGUAAGGUAACACAUGAAUCUAUCUUGGCACCACGAAAAACCGAGUUUUUGGUUAAAAUUUUUACGGGGCCUUAAACACUGUCCAGGGCAUCUUCCUCAAUGCCCCAAACAGUACAAGGCACUAUAAUUUUGGCGCCUCUGAUGGCGCCUUGCAUAAUUAUUUCGGCACCCUUGACAAUGCCACGUGCAAGCAAGGUUUACCCGAGCUAUUUUUAUGUUCCUCCUCAAUUUUAGGAUGUAUUCACUUAUUUAAAAGCCCUACCUCAUUCCCCCACACCCCAAACACGAAAACCUACUCUAGAAAUGGACGCUCUCAAGAACCUAACUUCCCCAAGGUCCCUCCAUCAUCCAAGAUAUUCGAUCGAAACACCAUUGUUGAGAAAGGAUAUGCUAGAAAUCGAAUUAAAGAGGAUUGAACUUCAAAAAGGUAGUGCUUCUACUCCCAAAUCAUUUAUAGCUAUGAAUUGAUGAGUUUUGAGAGAAUAGUAAAUAGGUUUGAUAAAGAGAACCAUAUGAACUAUGGUAGGCUUUUUGAUUCUUGACUUAUGAUUGUUGUAAACAUUUCGGUUACGAGAAUUGGUGUUUGUUACAUCUAUUUGGGAUUGUAGGAUCACUUAGAAGUAGUAGAAUGAGAACUUGGUGAAGAAAAUACCAAAUAUUAAGGGUUGUGAGGCUUUACACCCAAAUGGUGUUUGAUAGAAUU